UUUUUUUUUUUUGGUCAUAUGAAUUAGGACUCAUUUGAAAAAUAAAAGCACUUUUAAUACUUUCGACAAGAAACACAUAACUAUGUGAUAUUUUGAUUUGCAUAUAAGGUGGGAUCAGAGACUGUUUUGGUAAGAAACAAGUUGAAAUUUUUUUUAUCCCCAAAAUUACUUUAGCCUAAAGAAGGAGGCGAAAUCGCACUGUAGAAAUGAACAGUGUUUUGGACGACAUUUCAGUUUAUUUACAAGAUUACCACUCAGAUCCUUUUAGCCAACUUUCUGGCUUCGUUUCCACUUACUCAAACCCUAGCAGCCACAACACCAUAUCUGGAAUAGCAUCGGCACCUGCUUCCUAAAACCAAAACCACACAAACUCGGCUUCAUUUCUGUAACUCGACAGCUUCGAUGAGAUGAAGGAGAAGAGCAGGGAGAUGGGUUCGAGUCGGCGGGCGGAAGAGAUCUUCAGGGAUUACAGUGGUCGGAGAACCAACGCCGUCCACGCUUUAACUAACAGAGAGAGAGGUCGAGCAAGGUUUCGUCGAUUUCAGUCAACUUGGGCUACCCCCAUCGUCCGGUAAGGUAUUGGAAAUUUGAAACCAGAAAAGCUAGGGUUUUGAUCAAGCCAAGCAUAAUGGCUAUUGACCUUGGGAUUGAUCCAGUGAAAUUGCAACUCGAAAUAUCUAUCUUGAACAACAUUUUGAGGUUGCCAAUAGAGUUCGGUAGUAACCCUGAAAAGUUAGCCCCGCUUAGAACCAAGGACCGAAGAGAUGCAUUCUUCGGAAAUUCUGGUAAGGAACCCUGAAGAUGUUGAUUGCCUGAUAAAUCAAUGGUCUGCAGUGUAGGUACCUGGAAGAUCCUCUCUUGCAAAUCAAGAGUUACCAACCUUGUCAAGUACGAAAUCUCAAUCAGAACCUGCCCCGCUUAGCCAGCAUUCAUCAAGUUCAGACUACUCAAAUCAGUUAGCUGCCCAUACUCGGAUGGAAUCUGAGUGCAGUUGAAGUCAUUGUAAGCCAAAUUUAGGUCCUCGAUGUACUGCAGAUGGAAAAGAGCACUUGAUAAAGUCCACCGGAAAUUGACUCGCUGCUUAAGUCUAGAUGAGAAACACAACCAUCUUUGCAGGAGACACCUUCCCAAGAACAGUAAUCUGAGCCAUUAUUCCACUGCACGAGGUUUUUAGAUUGUGCAGGGUCAAAUUCGAGGCUGUUGUUCAAUUGCAACAACAAUGAUCGUUGAUCUCUGGGAUGACAUUGGCUAGAGACCACAAAUGUAUGGACGCUGAGUGAGGCAUAGGAAAUGAGCAUCAAGAAAAGCCAUGAAAACGGAGGAGUUUUCAUCGGAAGCUCUUGCUGCUAUGGGACAGAAAAUGUAGUAGAGAGUGUAGGCUCGGGUAUUAGGAAUGUCUUCAGCAGUUGUCACAAAUGAAAAAUCAACGGUACAUAGUCAUUUAUGCAUAGAUUUCCUUUUUCAUUUUCGUAGUUUUACUUGUUCAUUGGCUACUAAUUCGCAUGCAUUAAUGUGUAUAGUUGGAUUGAGACUGUAAUAUUGUGGACAAAUGAGAUUGCAUUAAGGGAUUGACUUGUUUAUCA